rnacentral:rRNA from 1 species
CCACCUCUUCCCAUUCCGAACAGAGAAGUUAAGCCCACUUACGCCGAUGGUACUGCAAUGCAAUGCGGGAGAGUAGGUAGCCGCCUCCU